AAAGAUUCAAAAGUCGAACAGACUUAGUAUUUCAGCUUCUGCGCCAAAAACUUUCUUUAAUCCAACAUCGAGGUCGCAAACUCAAUCCAUAGAUAAGGACUCUCCGGAAAAAUUACG
rnacentral:rRNA from 1 species